UAUGUGUAUAAAGGUAUAUGAGACCA
rnacentral:piRNA from 1 species